rnacentral:rRNA from 1 species
AAACUUUCAACAACGGAUCUCUUGGCUCUGGCAUCGAUGAAGAACGCAGCGAAAUGCGAUAAAGUAAUGUGAAUUGCAGAAUUCAGUGAAUCAUCGAAUCUUUGAACGCACAUUGCGCCCCCUGGUAUUCCGGGGGGCAUGCCUGUUCGAGCGUCAUU